AUUGAGCGCUGGCGGCAUGCCUUACACAUGCAAGUCGAACGGCAGCACGGGAGCAAUCCUGGUGGCGAGUGGCGAACGGGUGAGUAAAGUAUCGGAACGUGCCCAGUCGUGGGGGAUAACGUAGCGAAAGUUACGCUAAUACCGCAUACGAUCUAUGGAUGAAAGCGGGGGAUCGCAAGACCUCGCGCGAUUGGAGCGGCCGAUAUCAGAUUAGGUAGUUGGUGGGGUAAAGGCUCACCAAGCCGACGAUCUGUAGCUGGUCUGAGAGGACGACCGGCCCAACUGGGACGGAGACACGGCCCAGACUCCUACGGGAGGCAGCAGUGGGGAAUGUUGGACAAUGGGCGAAAGCCUGAUCCAGCCAUGCCACGUGCAGGAUGAAGGCCUUCGGGUUGUAAACUGCUUUUGUACGGAACGAAAAGGUUUGGCCUAAUAAGCUGAGCUCAUGACGGUACCGUAAGAAUAAGCACCGGCUAACUACGUGCCAGCAGCCGCCGUAA
rnacentral:rRNA from 1 species